rnacentral:tRNA from 1 species
GCCUGGGUGGCUCAGUUGGUUGAGCAUCCGACUUUGGCUCAGGUCAUGAUCUCACGGCCUGUGAGUUCGAGUCCCGUCUCAGGCC